GCUGGAGCGCUGUCCGAUGUGCUGAAAGUCUCAACGCAUUCCCCUCAUUGUCUUAAUCACAGGUUACCUGUAGCCUAUUCAUUGUACAUGAUACAUGACUAGCUCCUAGGAGAUUGAGAAUCACACUUGAAGAUGGCAUGAGUGUUAUAUUUUUGUGGAAGCCUCUUUUUUUAAUACAUCCUUGGAGAAGAUCGAAGGCAUCGGAACGCCGUCAUUUGGACCAGACGGUUUGAGAAAGGAGAGGAGGUGAGGAGGCUCUGCUAUCCGAGGGAUGGUUAACGAAUACAUAUUGGAUUAUUGUUGACAUGAAUGUACUGGGACAUGUUGACAAAAAUGUUUGUUAAUGUGAUCUCUUUUGUCACAUAUCUGAAGGUAGUUAACCUACUCUGAAUAGGGUAAUUGGACUCGGUUUCAACGGUCACUUCGGAUAAUAGGGAUGAUUCGUGAAAGGAAUUGUUGUCCUAAUUUGCUAUAAAUUGCAGCAGGCAUUAAGUUGCCGAAAAGUUGGGUACUUGAAGAAGAUCGGACAUUUAUGCAUUUUGGUUUAUAGAUCUGGGACGAAUAAAACGCCAAGCCAUGUCUCGUCUGCUUGUGUUGGUGAACUGUGCUGUCCAGUUGCUCUUCUCCAGCGACACGCUUGUGGUCACAGCAAACCGUCCCCCUGCUCCUGUCAACGUGUCUGUGAUGCACCUGAGGGCCGACUCAGCCACUGUCUACUGGGAGAUACCUGAGGGUGAAGUCAUCAUCGGCUUCUCCGUCUCACAGCAGGUGACUACUAUGUAGUUAUUAUUAAUAGUUAUUAAUUAUCAUAAUAUUAAUUAUUAUUAUUAUCUAGCCUAAUGGUCUUGUUGACAAAAUAUACAAAUGUAAUGGGUGGAUGAGAUCUUGGUAAAGGUUUAGUUUGCUAAGUGAACUCCACUGUUAAGAUGUUUAUUUACUAAAUGUCAUUGCUGUAGAGGUUCUGUUUACAUCAGUAUUUUAUGUGCUAAAUGUCCGAUGUGUUUUAAGGUGAAUAGAGACGUAUAUAUACACUGCAUGUUUACUACUGUAAUACUUUAUGCAUUCAGAAAGUAUUCAAACCCCUUGACUUUUUAAACAUUUUGU
rnacentral:lncRNA from 1 species